UUCAUACGCGACGACAAUACAAAAAUGGCUCAUGGCUGUGGCGCUCGCAACCCUAUGGAAAUCACGGCGACUUCGAACUUACGCAACAGCCAGUAUUUUAUAAUUUGGAUAUUUUCUCCAAUUUCUGUAAAUUUAUUUAAAAGUACCCCUAUCAAAGAAAAUGUACACGAUAAUUGGAUGUAAUGUAGUAGCAGUCUUCAACGAUAUGAAUCCAACUAACAUUUGAUCACAAUAUAAAGAGUAAUACUACUAGUGAUACUACUCUUUAUACUGUGAUUGAGUUAAGGUGUAAGCGAAUCCACGGAACACACAUGAUUUCCAGAACCAAAAACUUCAAAAAAUUAUAUUAUAAUAUUGUGUUUUUGCGGAUGUGUUGAUUUUCCUCGUCUUAUCAAAUUAGCUACACAUAAUUUUCUUGAUAACCGACGUCUGAUCAAAUAAAAUAAAAUACACUGAUAUCAACCGUCAAUUUAAAGAUAAACGGUAACCACAACUUCAGAUUAUCAUUUAAACUGACUAAAAGGCGUAUCGUAGUGGAAGGAGCUGUCCAAAUGUUUUCAAAUAGUAUGACGAAGGCAAUAUCUGUCUGUGGAAUAUAAUAUUACUGAUUGAGGCUUCAGAAGUAUUCCAACUUUUUAAUGACUGGUUUGAAUUGCAAAACACCCAACAACAAUAUGUUAAGAACUCAGCAAAAUAUGGAUUAUAUGUCACAAAAUUAGUUAUUAGACAAACUUGCAAACUUUGCAUUUAAUAUAAGAGUGAUCAUAGGUAUAAUAGAUUAUGAGUGGAAAUGCAAACAAGGACAAGGUGGAAAACAUGUUUACUUUUCUUAAAAGAAUUGGUGGAGUGCAUUUAAAAAUAUAAAACUAUUACAAUUUAAAUAUGCAUAAGUAUCAAAAUCGUCUCAAUAACUAAACUACAAUAGAAUCUGCUUAUAACAAUUUUCAAGGGACUUACAAGAUCAGAUUGUUAUAUUCGGAUGACAAAAACAUACAACACGUGAAAUUUAAAAACACCCAAGUACAUGGCUGGGAAUCGUUGUAUAUGGAUUCUACUGUAAAUAAAAUUGCAGAAACAUUAACAUUAACAUCAAAGGACUUUUAUCACUGCUAAUAUAAAUAAAGUCUAAGGUUUAGAGAACAGCUUAUUUACAGAAGAAGAAUCUGUUUAAAUACUAGAAUAGUCUGACGCACAAAGUGAUUCCAGUGACAAUGACAUAAAUUUUAGUACGAAAGAAAAACAUGCUCUUCUCAUAGCUACUAUUGAAAGUGUGGGUAUGAACAUAUUGAACUUCUUUGAUAAGGAGACUAAUAUUGAAUCAACGGGAACAAUUUGAGUAUAGAUUGAUGCGUUGAAUCAUACAAAAGUCAGAUUUUACUCUUUUCAUUACAUUUUUAUAUUCAUUAUCAAGAAAGUUAAAAAAAUGGGUUUAAAAAGUACUGAAAUGUUCGAACUAAUUAUUCAGCACAAUAAUCAUGGACCUUUAAUGUCUUAAAUAUUUCAAAGAUGUAUCCUUCUAAAAAGAGUACAUACGAUUCUGAAUAAAAUCUAUGAGAUGUUGGACAAGUAUUUGACGAUUUCAAUCAAAAUAAUAGUUGAUGCUCAUAUAAUAGAAAUUUAUAAAACCUAUUUAUUUCGACAGUUUAUACUUGACGCUCACAAAAAAAAUAGUUGAUACCUAAGCAUUAUAUUCAAUUGAUUCAUGUCAAAAAGAUCAACGACCAUCAAAAUUUUGAUUUCGGCUAUCGAAGCAUAUCAAAAUGACACAAAUAUCGUAGAAAUGAAUAUAAAAGAUAAUUUGGCUGAUACAGGGGAAACAAUUGCUUAGGAGUUAUUUUAACAUAAUGAUAAUGAUGGUUCUCCCAGUAUUCAGCUUACAAUUGUUGAAUAUUUUUCAAAUAAACCACAGAUGAGUGAUAUUUUUAAUAUGUUAUUUGGAAAUAAAUCUGUAUAUAUUAACAAAGUUACAGCAAAAUCUUGGUAAUGUGUAUUUGUACUCUAGUAACGAUACAACUGAUAAUAUAUACUAGAAAGUUCAAACAGUAUUUUAUAUUUGCAUGUUUGCAGUUUGGUAAAAUCAAUAUCGGUUAGUUAAUACACACUAUACUUUGAACAAGUUAAAAACCGUAGCUGGCGCCAUACUUCUCCGUGAGGCAAUACUACAUUGCCGGUAUACAGACAGUUGACUCUAUGGUGUUGCCUGACUGUGGCCUGACAAAAACUAGUCUCCACCGACAUCCAUAACUUGAACAGAUUAUAGUUAUUUUUGUUUUAUUAUUGUAACUAUAUCUAAUUAUUUUAUCUGUAACUAUAUCUAUAGGUUGACGGAUGAAACAAAUUUACUAUGAGCUAAAAUAUGGGUCCCCAAAACAUGUUUCCACUACACAUCAUCAAGUGUUAACAACUUUGAAUAAUGAGUCUGAUCAAUUUGCUGAAUUAUAUACUCCAUAGAUCAAAGACUUCAUAAGUUCACGGCACUUAUGAAAACUAUUGAGAAUUUUAAAAUUUGACCAAAUGCACCAACUAAAUUCACUUUCCCAUCAAACAAGAUACUAUCGAAGAAAAUCGAUGUAGUUUUACUGCCCCAAACUGGGGUGACAGACAUACAAUUAAAAAAAAUUAAUAAAAAAUAAAAAUACACACAUUGUAUAAUCAAUACAUUUAUCGCUCCUCUUAGAAAUUAAAAGUUAAGUGAUUAAAAUUAUUUAUGAUUUAUAAAUCAAUUCAUAUAUUUAAAAAAAUAUUUACAGUCAUAAAAUAUGUUCCUAUACAAUGUACUUUAAAACCUUUAUAAUUUUGUGUGCUCCCGGGUUAUCUCGGUUAAUUUGGUUGAUAAUUUAUCAUGUUUCUUUUUGUGAUAUUUUUUAAACAUAUGGGUAGCCUUAAACGGGAAAGAACUUGUUAGAUUGCGAGUAAUCAAGAUCAUUUUUCAUCAAUGACUUGAAGUGGCUGUAAAAAUAUAGAAUACUCUAAUAUAAUAUAUAGAACAUAGAAUUUAUGAAUUUUAUAGCCUUUUAGCUAUGUAUUUUUUGUAAAUUUUAAGUAGGUUUAUUGUAAUGAACAUUGAGACCAGCAUUUUUAUACUAAACAUAAUGCCUUAGAUACCUAUUGUAAUUUAUCCCAGAAAAACUUAAAAAAGCAUUGUUUAAUGUUAAUCUUCGGGUGUACAACUCCAAUAUUUUUCCCUUUGGUAGUACAAUGGAAUACGUUCAGAGGUAGACGGUGGCAUAAGAGUCGGUUUGUUUUUCGUAUCGUUAUUCCUUAGUCAUUACUAACAUUGAACACACGUUACAGACUUCCGGCAUAUUAUCGUAAAUUGUAAUACCUACAAUAAUUAUUAAUAGGUAACAAUUUAUGUAACCGUAUCGAUGGCAAAAUAUUUUCAAAUUUAGUGAUUUUGUUUUUUGAUUUCAGAAUGAUGUUCUCACCGUUUCGUACACGAAAUCGACCGUAUCCAUAGAAGCACUUUUCGUUGCUUAUAUCAUUGACUGAACUAGAACCUAGUAAUGAUAACAUGACGAUCACGUUUUAAUAUGAUAAGAAUACGUAAGCGGAUCACGAAAGCGUUCUAGUUAUCAAACACCUCAUUUUCGGUUAAUUUUGUUCUGAGACCAAAUAAGAAAAAAAUGACAUAAAAGGAAAAGGAAGGAAAACAGUCGCACGUAUCAGAAUUGAAAACUUGGCCAUCCUACAUUGAGUUGACGCUUCCUAUACACAAAUGUCAACGACGCCUGUCGUCGAUCGUUGCAGACCGGCUUCUGAUUGUUAUGGUUUGUUAUAUGGGAGGGUACCGAUGAGUAGCGACAGACACGUUUUUACGGUUGAACUCUUGUGGGCCGGAGUAUACAAUAUAACAACAUAUCGACAACAUACUAACACAAUCACAUACUGGACUUAAACGUAAAAUAUCAUAACAAAUAUUGAGAUUUUAGAUUUUAAAUUAAGUAAAGACUGCUGAAAUAUUACCAUAAGUCCUAGUGGUGGGAUAAUAAAUUGUGUAAGGCAUGGUGAUGAGGCAAGAACAAACAAGUA